rnacentral:tRNA from 1 species
UGCCCCCUCGUCCAAUGGCAGGACGUCGGUCUUUGGAUCCGAUAAUGGUGGUUCGAAUCCACCGGGGGCAA